rnacentral:misc_RNA from 1 species
AAUGCUUUAUUCUCAAGAGGAAAGUUUCUGUCAAUGUUCUUUCAUCAAUCGACAUGUUGAGGCAUGGUCCAAAACUGAGGUUCCUAUGUGUUACGAUGAGGAAAUGGGACGUAUUGUUUCUUCGUUAAAAUCCAUUGGGUUGACAUUCAAGGUAUUUAGACAUCGCCACUUUGGGUGUUUAGACGUGAUUGAUCAGAAAGAGCUAGACCUUCUUAUCUCGGAGAUCAGUACAGAUAAGUCACAGAAAGACCAUGUUAUGGAAGAACUUAUCAGCGCAUGUAAGUCAACAAGUUUAUUUGAACUUAGUGAACUCUUAUAUUCAAAAGGGGAAAAUAAUGCACUAUUUUAAAGCAUAAUGAAUUGAAAAUUUUCAUCAUUCAUAUCGUAUGUGAGUUCACGAUGGAGGUAGGAAUUUCCUCAGACUUACUUUAGAAGACCUAGUUUCUCUCUUUUGGUUUUUGUUUUCUGCAGCCGGUGGCAGUACCUCCCUUGACGGAUGUGGGUGUCAACUUGGUGCCUGCAGUUUCAUGGCUUGGUGAUCACUAAUCUUAUCUCCUUUUAGUGUUGUCCAAUAAGGAUAAAAAUUUGCUUGAUAGUGUAUAUAUAUAUAUAUAUAUAAAAUUUGAAUUAUUUGGUGUAAUCAAUUGCAGAUCAAACCAGACCGACCAAUGCUCAUCCCUAUUUAGUUAAGCUUGAAUGGAUAAUGAAGGCUUUAUUUUUAUGGAUCUCUUGGCAGCACUCAUCUUCUAAUUAUUCACUUCUUGAUUUUUGGAUCUCUAAGCACCAAGUCGUGAUUUUUUAUUUUUUUCAUCACUUGUAUUUAUCUUUUGUAUUUAGGGCUAUACCAUCUUUCUCUUGACAUUUUUCUGGCUUAUUUUACUUUAUUUCUUAUUUAUUUAUUUAUUUUACAGGUGCCAGCAGCCACAAAAUUUGGCAUGGGAUUAGCUGACAGGGCAGUUGGAUUUUUGUUAUCAUUCAUCAGUUUAUCUAUCUUUACUUAUUAUACUUUCUGGGUCAUUAUCCUGCCAUUUGUAGAUAGUGAUCACUUCAUCCACCAGUAUUUCCCGCCACUAGAAUAUGCCAUACUGAUACCUGUAUUUGCCGGUGUCACGCUUCUGUUCUUUCUAUGCGUUUUUAUUGGAAUGGUGAUGCUUAAAUCCAAAAAGAAGAAGCCAUAAUGCUAAUUCUCUUGUCAUUAUCAUGUAUUCUACUACAUUCUGGAAUUCCAAACCUUUUUUCUCACUUAAUAUGAUUUUGAUAGCGAGUGCAGUUGUCAGUAUGAGUUGCUUUCUAACAUUUCUAAUGAUUUGCUACUUUAGAUUUGAAGCCUGAAGUUUCAUAGAUGCAAUUGACAGUGUUUUUUUAUUAUUUUAUGACAAUAAUAUAAACUUUCCAACUUGUUUCGUGUCUGAAAUAGUUGCAUUGCUAACAGGAUUCAGUUAUCAGGAUUAUAUUGCCCUGUAGAAGAACUAUGUUUGAAAUAAUUAAAUUUGUUAAUUUAAUUCAUCAUUCUUCCUGCAAUUUGCAGAGGCAGCACCACGUGGCUUGUAAUUGCAUUGUAGGUGCUAAAUGACCCUGGUUUUAAUGUUCUUAUUUUUCUUAUUGCAUUGUUGAUUCUGAGGGUAACAGUGUAAAUCUGUUUUAUCUGGUUUGCUGCUUUCUUAAUGUUACGUUCAUGAUUAC